UACUUGGUCCGAGAGGCGGAGAAGGAAGUUCCGCGGCGCGUUCCGCUCCCUCGUGACUUUCUUUUCAGCCCCUUGGCCAGGC